GAUAUCUGCCCCCGGGGUGUGGCACACCCCGGGCACGAGGCCCCCGCGAGAGCCACACAAAAAUCUUUUUGUAUACCCCCCCUCGGGGGUUUUUUAUAAUCUGAGCCUUCUCGGCGCCUCUCGUAGGCGUUUCGAAAAUGAAUCAAAACUUUCAACAACGGAUCUCUUGGUUCUGGCAUCGAUGAAGAACGCAGCGAAAUGCGAUAAGUAAUGUGAAUUGCAGAAUUCAGUGAAUCAUCGAAUCUUUGAACGCACAUUGCGCCCGCCAGUAUUCUGGCGGGCAUGCCUGUCCGAGCGUCAUUUCAACCCUCGAACCCCUCCGGGGGGUCGGCGUUGGGGAUCGGCCCUCCCUUAGCGGGUGGCCGUCUCCUAAAUACAGUGGCGGUCUCGCCGCAGCCUCUCCUGCGCAGUAGUUUGCACACUCGCAUCG
rnacentral:misc_RNA from 1 species